rnacentral:lncRNA from 1 species
AGUUGGACUCAGUUGUUUCCCACUGACCUGGUCUUUUUUCCAACUUGUUGGAUCUGGAUAGACCUCAUAUAUUCCUGGUUCUAUAUGAGAGUAGGUGGUUGAACUUGAGCGAAACAUCAUGGCCAGCCACAUGGAAGAGAACAUCCUUGAAAAGGAUUUCAGGAUGUUGUUAUCUCUGGGUUGUGGUUCAUUCGGGGAGGUAAAGCUUGCCUGCCACCUUCCCACACGUAUACGGGUGGCUGUCAAGGUCCUUGAGAAAAACAUCAACAGCAUGGCUGACAUCACUUCGAAGGUGGAACUCCUUCAAUCUUUAGAACACAGGAACAUUGUUCGAUUUUUUUCACAUGAUUGACACACUGACAACAACUUAUGUGAUCAUGGAGUAUGUGCCAGGAGAGGACCUUGAGAAGUACCUCAGGGCACUGGGCUGUCUAAAAGAGGAAGAGGCUAGACCUGUUUUCCAGCAGGUCGUGUCAGCAGUGUACUUCCUCCAACAAAGACACAUUGCACAUCGCAAUAUUAAAUUAGAAAACAUUCUGGUCGAUGCAGCAAGAAAUGCAAAGCUUUCAGACUUUGGCAUGGCAAUUAAAACCACAGAAGGGCAGAUGUUGGAGGAGACCUGUGACUCCUUACUCUAUAGGGCCCCAGAGAUCUUGGCAAGGAAACCCUAUGAUGGGCUGGCAGUUGACAUGUGGAGCUUGGGCAUCGUCCUCUAUGUUCUGGUCACAGGGCACUUUCCAUAUGUAGAAGCCACCAUUGAGGAUAUGCACAGGAUCAUCACUACUACAAUGUGUCCCAUUCCUUACCACUUGUCAUUUCCGUGUCACAUCAUCAUUGCACGGUUACUCGGGGUCCCUACCUGGUUCAGGAUGACAAUACAUCAGCUUGUGGAACGACCAUGGCUGGGCCACAUCCAAGAUCAUGGACUGGUUGCCACAAAAGAAAUCCUUCCCAGGAUCAUAAACACAAUGUGCACCAUUGGCUAUACCUGUGAAGAGAUUGUGUCAUCCUUAACAAAUAGGCGACUCAAAGAUGAAGUAAUGGCAACAUUUAAUAUUUUAAAAUACCAACUGAGCUAUGGGGACAGCCAUCAGCAGGUGGAGAAGCCCUGGGCAAAUAACAGCCUUUCAGGUGUCCUUAUCCCCUUUCCCCACUUGAAGAGGAGAGCCAGUGAAUCUACCUUUUCAACUUGUAUAGAAGCUAGGAAGAGUCACUUUCAGGAUGAGAAUAUUGAAAGAAGAAGCAAGAGUUGCAUAAAUUCCCCCAUACUCACCCAAAACUGCCCAGAGAGGAUGCCCAAUUCAGAUGACCCAGUGCCAGAAAGUGAUGCUCUGACAGCUGAUGUCACUAACAGUGCUACAGGGGAUAUUGUAGUCAACAUAGAUUCCACGGACUGCAUGCCUGGUGAGCCGGUCUCUCCAGUAUCAGACUACGUUGGCCCCACAGCUUCUAAAUCUAGGUCACUUACAGUUUGGAGGCGAAUUUCCCGUGCUCUGAAAGCACUGUGCUGCUGCUGCUGCUGCUGUCUGCCCUCCCCACGUGGGGAAACCGAAAUGGACUAGGAGAAUUUCAGCCUUAUUGAAGAGAGACUCCACAGCAGAAAGCCAGGACAGAACUCCAUGGUGCUGUGCUUUUCCAAUACAUGGCAUCAGGCUUCUGUGUCUCUCUCGAUCUUUGGUGUGAACUGUCAGUGUGCAUCUCCUUCAUCUUACUCCAGCCCCAUCACUGCUUGCUGGACAGAAAGGUGGGCAUGAGGAACAUCUACCUGAUGAGGCUCUUCUUCCUCAGCUUUGAGUGUGCUGUAGCACUAGUGCCCACAGCGUCUAAAACAGAUGCCUCCACCACCAGAAAUGACGUGUCUUCUGACAUAAGGAGCCUCAUCAUCUUGGUCACUUUAUCCCCUCCAUCUUAUUUCCUGACUGUAUUUUGGGAAGAACUACAAGAAACAUGCUCUGUUAGACAAGUUCUGUGGUGGAGGAUCAUUUUCACCAUCUAUGCAUUCUGACUCAACUAGGCAAGUGUUAAACAAGAUGGUGUACGGAAUGCAGUGUCCAACCCAGACAAGUGUUUGGGAAACUGCUUCUCCUCCUGACACCUAGAGCCUGCUCAUGGGACAGGACAGCAACAGGCACCCAGGAUAGAGAAUCCCUUCAGACAGCAAUUCAUCAAGAGACCCAUUGAGUUCAUUCUCAGAUGCCUUGCAACAUCUUGAAACACGUACCCAGAUUAUUCCUGACAUAGGGAUGUGCACACUCAGCAUUCGUGACGCUGAUUGAGUCUGGGUUGUUUGAGAAUUUCCAUGGGAUCUUCCAGUCAUCAACUCAAAUGAAUGCAAUGCAGUCCCACUACUAGAAGCUAUGCCUGCCUACCAGAAAUGGCCAGGUGUUCCUAAUAACAUCCCUGAAAAUGACACUCCAGGAUCCUUGCAGCAUGCUGAGAAAUGAGCUCCCUUUGCUUGUCCAACGGACAUUUGUUUUUUGUGGCGUUCUUGUGGAUGACACAGAUAGAUUACAGUUUCCAAGUUGGACAACUCACAACUACCCCAAAAGAUGUGUCUACAGAAGAGCAAGAAGUAGGGCUGAGCCACUAGGAACAGCACCACCCGUGCACACAUCAUUACAUACAAUGCACAAAUUUCUUCAGAGCCUCUGGAAAGGAGUUGGCAUGUCUUUGAAUCUGACUGAGAGGGGAGCAUGGAUUUCGGAGUGGUGUUUCUGUUGCUCGAAGAGGAACAUCCAGAGUUUUUAAUGCUACCAUCUCAGAAACAACUGUAAAGAAGCUUUCUUCAGAACACCCAACAGAUGAUGCAAGCCUGGACACAGGAUACUAUACUUCACAAUAUUCUACUAGUUCUUAUUUGGUUUCUUGUUUAUUGGUUUUUGUUAUAUAUCUUUAACGAAUAAGUUCUUAAUUUUGUACUUUAGAAAUAAUCAAGUAUGUUCAGAUAAAAUAGAGAAAGUAGCAUAUGAAUGAUUUCUCCUCCACUGUAAUGUUUCAUGUGAAUAUUUGGAUACCCAGAUGUUGUGGGAUGUUCUGGGGAGAAUUAUACUUGACGUUAAUUCC